rnacentral:rRNA from 1 species
AGGGAUUGCCCUAGUAACGGCGAGUGAAGCGGCAACAGCUCAAAUUUGAAAUCUGGCCUUCUGGUCCGAAUUGUAAUUUGUAGAGGAUGCUUUUGGUUAGGUACCUUUCGAGUUCCUUGGAACAGGACGCCUUAGAGGGUGAGAGCCCCGUACGAUUGGAUACCGAGCCUCUGUAAAGCUCCUUCGACGAGUCGAGUAGUUUGGGAAUGCUGCUCUAAAUGGGAGGUAAAUUUCUUCUAAAGCUAAAUACCGGCCAGAGACCGAUAGCGCACAAGUAGAGUGAUCGAAAGAUGAAAAGCACUUUGAAAAGAGGGUUAAAUAGUACGUGAAAUUGUUGAAAGGGAAGGGCUUAUGACCAGACCUUUGCCUUGCGGAUCAUCCGGUGUUCUCACCGGUGCACUCCGCUUGGUUGAGGCCAGCAUCAGUUUUGGCGGCCGGAUAAAGACUUCAGGAAUGUGACUCCUCCGGGAGUGUUAUAGCCUGCUGUGUAAUACGGCCGCUGGGACUGAGGACCGCGCUUCGGCUAGGAUGCUGGCAUAAUGGUCAUCAGCCACCCGUCUUGAAACACGGACCAAGGAGUCGAACAUUUAUGCGAGUUUUUGGGUGUUAAACCCUCAAGCGUAAUGAAAGUGAACGGAGGUGAGAGCCCUUACGGGUGCAUCAUCGACCGAUCCUGAUGUCUUCGGAUGGAUUUGAGUAAGAGCAUAACUGUUCGGACCCGAAAGAUGGUGAACUAUGCGUGGAUAGGGUGAAGCCAGAGGAAACUCUGGUGGAGGCUCGCAGCGGUUCUGACGUGCAAAUCGAUCGUCAAAUCUGCGCAUGGGGGCGAAAGACUAAUCGAA